rnacentral:rRNA from 1 species
AUUGAACGCUGGCGGAAUGCUUUACACAUGCAAGUCGAACGGCAGCACGGACUUCGGUCUGGUGGCGAGUUGCGAACGGGUGAGUAAUAUAUCGGAACGUAUCCAAUAAUGGGGGAUAACUAGUCGAAAGAUUGGCUAAUACCGCAUACGCCCUACGGGGGAAAGCAGGGGAUCUUCGGACCUUGCGUUAAUGGAGCGGCCGAUAUCUGAUUAGCUAGUUGGUGGGGUAAAGGCCCACCAAGGCGACGAUCAGUAGCUGGUCUGAGAGGACGACCAGCCACACUGGAACUGAGACACGGUCCAGACUCCUACGGGAGGCAGCAGUGGGGAAUUUUGGACAAUGGGCGCAAGCCUGAUCCAGCCAUUCCGCGUGAGUGAAGAAGGCCUUCGGGUUGUAAAGCUCUUUCGCAAGGGAAGAAAACUUAGCCACUAACAUUGGCUGAGGUUGACGGUACCUUGAUAAGAAGCACCGGCUAACUACGUGCCAGCCGCCGCGGUAAUAC